UUACAUUACUCUCCACCCAUCCCACUCAUGAUCCUUUGAGCCGAGCGCAAACCCCUGGAGGGAGCAAAGGCCGGAAGGCCCAGCCCUGGAGCCCCAUCACACCUCAGUGGUGUCGAUGCCGUUGUUCACUGCCCAGGUGGCCUGGAAGUACUCGAGCAUGCGCUGCUUCAGGGGGCUUGGGGAUGCGAUGGAUGCGGAUGUAGUCACGAAGGUCUCGAGUACGGCUGUGAUACAGGAAGCGGCGGGCGUACAUGCGCUGGAUGAUGGCUGUCACAUUCCCAAACACCACCGCAUGCAUCAGGGCUAAAGAGGGUGGCAAGAGGGGGUCACCAAGGGACUGGGGAUUUAGCUCAGUGGUGCCGCGCCUGCCUCAUAAGCACAAGGUCCUGAGUUUGAUCCCCAGUACCAAAAAAAAAAAAAAAGAGGGUCACCUAUAGACCUGGCUGGGCCUGACACCAUGCUGGACACAUCUGGCCUCUGGCCCCUCCCCACCCCGCACACACCUAGGCAGGGGACAUGGGCCUCUCCAGGCCCUGGCCCCCUGUUCUGUGGACCACCUAAAGCAGAACUCUGGCCUGUGGGGCUCUGGGGGAUGUGGGGAAGGAGGGCCGCCUGAGGCUGGAAGUCUAAGAGAGGACCCCCGGGAAGCCCUUGGGCCAGGCCUCACCACCAAUGAGCAUGGUGCAGAUGGAAAAGAUCUUCUCAGUGUCCGUGUUGGCAGACACAUUGCCAAAGCCCACACUGGUGAGGCUGCUGAGUGCAAAGUAGAGGGAGGUGAUGUAGGCACUGCGCAGUGACGGGCCACCCAGGAGCUCUAGCCCUGUUUUGUUGGCCUCGCCGCUGCUGCUGCAGUUGUCACUCUGGCCAGAGCUGUUCCCUUCAGCUGGGCUCCGGCUCACCAGGUAGUAGGGCGUCUCCAGUCGGCGGGCCAGCUCCUGCAGCCACCCUGAGGAGGGCGAGAGGGGUAGGCCUAAGCAGGCAAGGCCAUAAGGUGGCUCUGGGGUGCAGGGUAGCGGACACGCACAGACCCACCCUCAAGGCUUCCCACCACUGUCCCCUCUUCUGCCAGCCCAGUACACCCCUCAGCCCUCAGUAAGACAAGCGCAGGAAGGAGGAUGACGUUGCCAUCUCGCAAGCUGGUUCCUAUUGGUGCUGAGGGUGGAAUAAAGAGAAGCACACUCUCUUCCCUUGUGGUGGCUGCUAAUCUCAGAGAAUGGGCCCAGCUAGAGAGCCGAUAUGGCAGGAGCUCACCGCAUUCAGGCACAGCCUGGCCCCUAAGGCUGGGUGGCUGACGUCACUUCCUCUACCCUGUUCACCUAGACUGUUCUUUCUGUUUUUGUCUGAGCCUAGUCUCCUCCAGAAAGCUUCCCUCCCUACAACCACAGAGACCACCCAAUCGCAUGUCUGCACUCUCAGGUGCUCCCACAUAGACUGUGCACAGGUCCCCUACACAGUCAAGACAAGGACACACAUGCAAGCACCUUACAGACACACCCACUGCCACUUAUACUGAAAAGAACUCCGUCUCACUUGGGAGAAGGACAAAGGCACACAGGUGUUUGCAAACUGACACAUGGGCAGGGAUGGGGGGACCCCCCCCACACACACACAGGUGAAUACACUCAGGCUAAAAGAGGGCAAGCACCUGUGCACGCAUACACAUACUUGCAUACACACACAGGAAGGAGCCAUACUUCUUGGCCGGGCUUUGGCAGGAGGGUUGUGGAAGCUCUAGGGUGCUUGAUUGGGCCCGUACAGAGAAGGAAGAGGGGACCAACUGACUAAUGGAGAAUAGAGAGGCAGAGGGCAAGUGCCCGGCUCCUCGCUGCAGGCAGAACGAUCUCUCUACAUGUGCUGUGCCAAAUCCACAGACCCUGUGCUACUCUUGCCCCAACACUGCACAUAAUCUUUGUGGUCCACACCCCUUCCUCCUAUCCAUACACCCUUUUCCUCAGCAACCUUGCUCAUUGAGCACUAGGCUGGUCCUGUGGGCUCCAGUUCAGUUGGGCAGAUAAUUGCCUGGGGCAGGAGCUACAUCCCAGAGGCACCACAGGAGGGGGCUCAAACCUAAGUGCUACGGGCCAGGCCUCAAGGGCUGCCAGAAAAGGGUGAUGGUGGGGGCCAUGUGUGCUUGGCCUCAAAGGAGAGGGAGGGUUUCAUACAAAGAAACUAAGUGGGGGUCAUUUCUGAUGGAGAAAAAGGCAUGAGUCAAACCUGGAGCUAGAGACUUUAGAAAAAGUAUAGGCAGCACCAAAGGCAUCAAGUUCCAGCCUCAGAAAUUUGCGCCAAGGUAUGCACUCACCCUCCUGUUGUUCAAGAUGUGCUAUAAGGGUACAACAGAUACACACAACUCCUCCCAGUCACUGUUUGGUUGGGGCUCUGAAGUGAAGCCAGGGAUCACGGUAAGCAGUAGGGUGGGGUGGUGGGAAGCAGUGAGACAGAGAUGGGGCAGGAGGCCUCUCCCUCUCAGUCUUGACCAUGGGCACCAGCAGCCCUGGAUCUGGUGGCAGGAUGGUGCUUCCACAUGAGGCAGGUCAAGCUGUUCUGGAGGCUGGUGGCUUUCACACUAAGAAAUGCCCUGGGUUACCUCCCUCAGGCUUUGGCAUAUCUACUGGGCUAAUGGGAAUCUAGAAAAGGAGCUCUGCUCACGCCAUAGGCAGCAAAAGAGGGGAUCCCAGCAAAGAAGCCACAGUGGUGCCUUCUAGCAGAGAGAGCCAGCAGCACCCACCUGCUCAGCCAGCCUUACCUCCCCACAAGGACCUCUCUUCCUAGGGCUGAACUUUGGGAGGCCCACGUUUGGCAUCAACCUAGCUGGAAGGCAGUUUCCCUGGGGAGGGAAGGGGGAGGUAACAAUGUAAAGCACUUGGAAAUGCUCCAAAUGUGGGCCAGUUCCAGCUCCAAAUACAAUGAAACCACCCUGGAACUCAGGGGUCAAGGGUAAAAGAAUUACCCGGAGACAGCUGGCCCCUGCACUCCCAUGUUCACCACGGUGGGACCCAGAGCUUCUCUGAGAGCCAGAAAUAUUCGCUUUUAUGUGUGUCUAUGGUACUGGGGAUUGAAACCAGGGCCUCUGGACUGAGCUACCUCCUUAGCCCUUUUUUAUUUUGAGACAGGGUCUCACUAAGUCACUAAAUUGAGCAAGCUGUGCUUGAACUUGUGAUUCUCCCGCCUCAGUCUCCUGAGGUGCUGACAUUAUUGGCAUGUACCAUCACACUCAGCUCAGAAAUAUUCUUGAUAGAUCAGCAAUUCCCACGAGGUGGCUGGAACAGAGGAGCCUCAUGGAUGCAAGACCUCGGGUGUCUAGGGCCUGUUGCAGAGGCUGGGGUCUGACCUGGGGAUUUGCUGUCUGGGCCACUUCUAAGGCCAGAGACAGGGUCAGAGCAUUUGCUGACCCCGAGAGCAGCCUUCACCACAGUCUCCCUCUGGGAUGGGCAGGCGCCAAGCAUCUGACACUGUUGGGGUGCCCUGGUUUCCACGGACUCAGCAACUAGAGUGCUCUGGGAGUAACCAAGUGGGCCCUCUGGGCACACAGCAGCCGCUCCACGCGCUUGGUGAGUGAGAGAGGGUUCUCAGGAGCCUUGGCAUCCCUGGGGAGCUGAUCAGAGCAGGGUUCUAAGACUGACCUGGACUCGGAACAGGUGACCCAUCCAAGGAACAGACUGACAUGGGAGGCCACCUGAGCAGCUGGAAACAUGCUAAAGGUCAGCUACUGCAAAGCCAACUUUGGGCUGGAGGGUGGGAGAGGAAGAAGUAUGCUCAGUUUCCGACCUGAGGAGCACUGAGAGCUAGGAAUGAUAGAAAUGAAUACAUUUGGUAAAGGGCAAGGAUGGAAGUGGUGAUGUGGCCAAGGAAAAAGGGAAACAAGGCAGGAGGAGUGAUGUGAGGAAAGCCUGUCUGGAAGCCCUGGAACCCAGAAGGGCUUGGGUGGGCAGCCAAGGGCUGCACCUCACACAGCAGGAGGAGUGUGGCUGGCAGGGUCAGGUGCUAUAAAGACUUCAUGAAGGAGAGGGUUUGGCCCCAUAAGGUCACUGUGACCUUCAAGGCCAACAUUUUGGGUAGAGAGGUGGGGGUGGAAACCGCCGGCAAGAGUAAGACUGAGUGGGUGAUGAGCCGAGCGAGGGAGGAGCUGUGGCAGUGGAGGUGAAAUGAAGGAGAGCAGCGAUGCAGGGAAGGCAGAUAAGGCUGUGUUUAGGGUCAGGGAGAGCUGGACUCAGCUGGGAGUGGCGGCUGCAGGUGCUAAGAGUCCCAGGGGGUGGGAACAAGCUUCAGAGAGGGUGGCAUGAGAGGAAGCCGUGAGGACAGUGGCUCCCUGCCUGUCCUUCCUAGGGGGGCAAGGGCUUAAAGAAUGUGACAAACAUCUGGCCACCAGGAAGACACGACGGGGGCCUGAGGCUCCCCAGGCACCACAGCCUGUCCAGACAGCAGGCCUGCCACGUGAUGGUGGCCAUCACACACGCCUGCACACCCCUUUACUGACGUGCACGUACAAACCUGCACGCUCCACUCGACUUGGCAUCAUCAGUCCUCUGCCCACCCCCAGCCCCCCACCGUCUCCAGUACCAAUCUCAGGCAACUCCGAUUCGCUGCUCUCGAUCUCCCGCGGGCCAAUGUAGAACCAGAUGCAGGCCACCCAGUGGGCAAGCAGGGCAAACACAGCCAUGAGCAGGGUCAGCACCACAGCGCUGUACUGUGAGUACCGGUCCAGCGCGGCAGCAGGCGUAGCAGACGCAGGAGCCGCACAGUUUUCAGCAGUCUAGCCACACUGACCACGUUGACCUUGAAGGCAUGUAGCAGGUCAAAGGGCAGCGCUGCAAUGACAUCCAGCAGGAACCAGGUGGUGACAUAGUGGAGGCAAAUGGACUUUGGGGCAAACACCACCUGGCCCGAUUUGGACACGAAUGUGGUGCGGAAAUUCAGGACAAUAUCUGUGGAGAAUUCGGGUGGGAGUUAGUGUGAGAUGGGAAGCCACUCUUUACUACUGGGCACCAGCUCAUUAGUGUCCCAGGCCUUCCAUACAUCGCCUGACCUACUUGUCAUGGUAAUUUUAGCAGGUGCACACUGUCAUGCUUUUUUUUUUUUGGUACCAGGGACCGAACUCUGGACCUUGUGGUUGUGAAGCAGGAGGCGGUGGAACCACUGAGCUAAAUCCCCAGCCCAGUCAUGCUUCUUUCAUGGAAGGAGAAACUGAAGCUUGGAGCGGCUGUGACUUGUGCAGGGUUCAAUAACACAUUAGAGCAGAGACACAUUUGGAAUCUAGGUCUGAUUUCAAAGCUUAUGGGUCACAAAUGGGACAAACAGGGAGAGGAAGGGGGGCCCUGGCAGCCAUGCAGACAAUCCCCACUGAGACCUGAGGGUGCCUGGCCUGGGUGGGGCAGAGGACACAGAUGCACAUACCGAGGAUGAAGAGGACCUCCACGGCCAGGUCACAGACGCUGGGGGCCACGGGCAGCGCUGGGCUCCGGGCUGUGCUUCACACACACACUGUAGGGCACAGUGACAGCCACGUAGAGUGUGGCGAGCAGGAUGAAGCCAUCCCAGGUGGCUCUCAGUGCCCCACAGUGCAGCAGGAUGAAGGGUGACUUCCGGAUAGCAGCAACUUUAUACUCAGGCAAAUUUGGCUUCUCUCCAAACACCCCCUGAGUCAGGCAGGGCAGGUCCAGCCAGGGAGGAAUCGAUAAUGGCAAAGGUUGAGUUUGGAUAAUGUCUAGCACAGACGUUCAUCUCCUUUUUCUCACUAUAUUCUCAAUAUCUGAUAUAGGCAUUAGAGGUCCCCACUUUAUAGACAGUAAAACUGAGGAGCAGGGAGAUCUAGUGACCUAGCUGAGGUCACACGGCUGCUUAGGGCAGGAGUUAGGGUUAAGCUAAGGGAAGGCUUCUAUCCCUUUGAUGGAUCAAACACGAGAGAUUUCUCAGUCUCAACCCCGCAUAGUGCUGGUGAGGCUUGGUGGUGGCUCCCUGGACACUCUGUCUGUGGUGGGCUCAGUUCCCUUCUCCUCCACCUGCUCCUACCUUGUGCCCAACCCAAACACACACCGUAGUGCUCAAUCCACCUUAUUGAGUUUGUGCUUGCCCUUGGGCUGCUUCUGCAAGUGCCCGGACAGGUGGUAGAGCACAGCCCGGCUCCGCCGCCGGUUGGCAUUAAAGCCUUUGGAUCCCUGCCCGGCCAUA
ensembl:lncRNA